UACGGAGGGUGCAAGCGUUGUCCGGAUUUAUUGGGUUUAAAGGGUGCGUAGGCGGUUCUUUAAGUCCGGGGUGAAAGCCCACUGCUCAACAGUGGAACUGCCCUGGAAACUGGAGAACUUGAGUACAGACGAGGGCGGCGGAAUGGAUGGUGUAGCGGUGAAAUGCAUAGAUACCAUCCAGAACCCCGAUUGCGUAGGCAGCUCGCUGUGCCGAAACUGACGCUGAGGCACGAAAGCGUGGGGAGCGAACAGG
rnacentral:rRNA from 1 species